rnacentral:misc_RNA from 1 species
GAUGAAGAACGGUAGCGAAAUGCGAUACUUGGUGUGAAUUGCAGAAUCCCGUGAACCAUCGAGUCUUUGAACGCAAGUUGCGCCCGAAGCCAUUAGGCCGAGGGCACGCCUGCCUGGGUGUCACACACCGUUACCCUCGCGCCAACGUCCAUCGUUGGCCGCGGCGCGGGGCGUGCGCUGACCUCCCGCGAGCGGGGUCUCGUGGUUGGUUGAAAAUCGAGUUCGCGGUCGAGGGUGCCGUGAUGAAAUGGUGGAUGGGCGACGCCCGAGGCCAAUCACGCGCGACUCUGUCCGGCUCGAACUCCUGGACCCCUUCGGCGUCUCCGGACGCUCUUUGGCGAGACCUCAGGUCAGGCGGGGCUACCCGCUGAGUUUAAGCAUAUCAAUAAGCGGAGGA